CCAGCUUUCAUCAUUUCCUGAAAAGCUAUUUGUCCAGGUUUUAGCUGCCUCCUCCAUCUCAGUCAGUCCCUCAGAGCCCUCUCAGUCUGACCCACCUCAUACUCUGGCCUCUACUAGCAGAAGAGUUUUUAUUUACCUUCGGUUUCUUGCGACGAGGUCUCAGGUAGCCCAGGUUGGUCUAUAUGCUAUACAGCCAAGGAUAUCAAGGGUACUCCCUGAUCUCUCUGCCUUCCCCUGCGGCUGAAGACUUCCACCAGCCAUGUCUGUGACUACUAUCUAAAAGCUACGGAAGAAGCAAGCCACUUCCCCAGGCAGAGUGCAGCCUGUGCUCCCAUAAUGACCUGGCAACUUUCCUGGGGACUGUGGGGAUGAGCAGUUUGUUUGCAGGACUCACUAACUGUGCGUGUAAGGAAACCACCUGGAAGAGGGGACUGGUGACUGUCAGUCACACGUGUGUGUGUGUGUGUGUGUGUGUGUGUGUGUGUGUGUAUGUGUGUGCGCGCACGCGCACGCAUUCAGAAGAGCCCGAUGGGUCUGGUAUCACCACAUUUUCUGGACCUCCAUACCCCCUAUCUGUUAAAACAAGGCUCUCCAUAGCAAGUGAGAAACUCCUAUGUGAAUUUAUCUUCUCCCGCCUUCUUUUCAACAAGCCCACAGACCACUUGGGAGAAUAGCGGAUCUUGUCUUUUAGUUCUUCGAAAUAAAACAGAAGCUACGCAACACGCAACACCGAGAACACAGAAAUGUCUCAGAAUGCCUAGAACUCCGCAUCUUACAUCUGAGUAAGGCUGGAGUUCCCAAACACUGGCACGUAUCAGAGAACUGCCACAGACCAACCAACCUUUAUCCUCACCCUGCCCAGGUUCCUGACGCUGAAGCCUGAGAAUGUAUAUGACUUAGAGGACCCCAGCUGACACUUUGAGAAUCAUUGGCAUAGUGACCCUGAACUGUGCUUUUCCAUCUGUCCUCUCUGCUCCAGUUACCGUCCUUGGCAAGCCCCACCCCCACCCCCAAGCACUGACCCCCAGGAAAGGCUUCAAUGGCUUGCAGAGGACGGAGAAUGCAGAGCUGGGUCUGUGAACCAAUGCAGUACAGGGCCAACAUCUGUGGCCUCUAUAAUUAGAGGAUGAAAUACAAAGAAAAGAAUCCUUCACAAAGCAGGCCGCAGGGACCGGAUGUCUUUAAGCAGCGACAGAAUUCGGUCCUAUGCUGUACUUCCUUCCUUCUCCUUCCUUUACAGGUGACAAAACCUCCCAGAUCUAAAAGUUGGAUAAAGUUAAAUAUCCUGCCUAAGGCAGAUGAAGGCAGCUGUGGCUAGGCCUCCACGGAACAUGGAAAGGGCUGCAAAGUCCAGGCAAAGAGCACUGGCUCCAGCCUCCACAAGUCCUCUGUCCUCCCCUCCAGCAGCACCAAGGACCACCAGGACUCGGGCUGUCAGCUGGCCUCUUCAGAACUCCUUCCUACAGGUCAAAUCUUCACCCUGGCAACCUCUCACCUUGACAACAGUCCUGAAACCUGCUUGCUCGGGGUGGAGCUUCCUGCUCAUU